rnacentral:pre_miRNA from 11 species
GUCUAGGACCCCUGGGUGGUCAUGCAAAUCCCGGGCAAGCCCCCAAAUGUAAGACCCCCCGAAGGGAGAACCUCACUCAAAUCUCGGGAAUAGCGCGCACCCAGUGAGGCCCCGAGACUG